GCUGCUGCUGGAGUACACACACACACACACACAGAGAAAGAGGAAGGUGGUAUUGCUAAAUUAGGAAAUGGAAGUUCAUGUGAAAGACGUUUUCCUCAGGAAAAGAUUGCUUGGCGUGUUCCAAGGCAGACGACCCUGGUUUACAUUUGCUCGUGUCAAAGGCGCUGCAUGCUACAGACAGAGCAGACCGAAACCAACAGAGUGCUUCACAAAUACUGAUGGAGAGUGAAAAUGCAAAAGGAUAACUGCGGCGUCUAAAGGGAAAUUGUCCAAGCACAGGAGAAGAGGCAUACUGGAAAGAGAAGAGCCUUCGCUCCUAGCUGGGCGGCUCCAGAUUAUUCACUGGAUAAUCUUCCUCCAGUAAGAAGUGUCUUGAACUGAAAGGCAUCUUUGAUCGACCACUCCUUACCGAAGUGAUCAAAACUUUGUGCGUAGAAACUGUUUUGUUCCUCAUUGCUAUUGCUUAACCUCGGUCAUUUGCAUGCUCUGUAUGGCAAAUGUCAGCAAGAGGUCUAUGGACUUGCCAGACUGAAGUAUCCACUCAGACAGCAUUACAGUGUCACUUCAGACCUUCUUCGAAGGCAUCACACCGCGGCUAAUUAAUUUGAGGGCUUUGUUACAGGAGGGAAGGCAUUUCCUUAUGGAGAGAGGCUUCCUUUACCAGUGGUGUUUGCUGGAAGGAGCAGGGCAGGAUGGGCCCAGCAGCAAAGGAGGAGAUAAGGGGCUGUUCCUGAGGGCGGAAGUUAGCACUGCCACCGUGCAUCCAUGCGGGUAUCUGGUCUGAGAGGUCUAACCCUGAUCCCAUGCCCAUGGAAAUCAAUGACAGGAUUUCUGCAGACUGUUGAAGGGGCCAUCGAGAGGCUGAGGAGCAGCUAACAGCCCAGCCUGGCACAAACAGUUUGUACUGCAGUACCCACAUGUGCCACACACUGGGCUGGACAGAUCCUGAGCUCUGUGUGGGUGAGGGAAAUGGGCCUCAGACAAUCAGGGCCUGGGGGUCGAGAGCCUGGUGGUCAAUCUAUUUUUCUUAGAUGACAAAGAUGUAGUUACCAAACUGAGACUGCCCGGAGGUGCUCAGGCUUGGUGGGUUUUAUUGCUGGAGCCUCAAGGAAGCAGCCCAGUGAUGAGGGGUCUCCCUGCUUUGUCCCCCAUUUUGUGCAUCUUCUCCCUUUGCUUGCUGAGGUUUCACCUCAGGCCUGCCUCCACUUUGGGAACACUGAAUAGCUCUUAAUGACAGCAGCACAAACAAAACCAUAUAAAGACAGGAUUUGUGAUUUACGUGGGGUUAAUUACCACAACAAGUAUGUUUAUUCACUUCUCUAAUAAAUCCUGAAGACAGGAACAAGUACUAGCUUGACCAGAUUCAUCCUGUGCAUAUGUUUUUUCUGUCACCAUUUUUACAAAUCUAUAUGUGCAGGAUAGAUAAAAAAGAGACAAAGUAUCUCCCAUCAUGUAGGCACUAACCCAUAGCCCAUGUGUGCUCUUCAGCCUGCCGAUGGCGUCAUCAUUUACUUCAGAUCUUCUUGAGGAAAAUAGGCUCUUUGGUGACUUUUGCAAGUCCUUUUUUUUUUUUUUUUUCUUUUUCUUUUUUUAAGGAAAUAAAUGGAUCGUAAAUGAGCAUUAACUACAUCAGUGUGAUCUAUUGCUCUGACACCUAUUUGCCACAGGAGGAAGGUGAGGUCUCCAUUUGUCUCUGCUAAAGGAAUGAGGUAUUUCUAACACGAGGUUAGAAGGCUGCAGUGACAGGAGCUGGGCAUGCCCAGGCCCUGCUGUGUGAAGCUGUGCUUCAGUGAGGGCACUCUGUAGCCCAUCACUCGCUCACUAACAGAAUGACUUGGUUCCAUCAGUCUGAUUUACAGGAGAGGGAACUGAUGUAGAGAAGUGAGCAGUGCCAUUGGGAGCGUGUGUUUUUAAGUGACAGAUCUCCGAGUGACUUCAUGCAGACCAGUGUUACUCAACAACGUCCUGUUUGACUGUGUUCUGAUAUAUGUCGGUUGCAAGAAGGUUUUCUUGACCUGCUGAUUCUGCUUCAGCCAUCUUCCAUGUUUCCAGUGUCCGUGUCCGUGUUGGGCUGACUGCAGUCCCUGAUUUGCUAGAGAAGUCGUUGCCAUGGCUCAGCACCGUGCCAGACGGGGCCCCCGCCGCCCUGAGGAAUUUGUGUCAGAUAGAACAUUUCGUACGAUGCAGAAGGUUCUGUCACCUUGAUUCGAAGGAAGUUGUUUGUGUUAAUGCUUAAAGGUAACGUGAGACGAGGCGAGCUCUUUACUUUGGAACACGCGCUGUGCCAUUGAUGUGCGCAGUACAGUAAAUAUAACAAAGAGCGCACUGUGGUAUUUACACCCACCGCAAACACAUUUGCAAAAUAGGAUUAUUUGCAAUCCAAUAAAAUGGUACUGCUUUUAAGGCAGAAACCCUGUGUGUUCAGUGAAGUGUGCUCCUCAGCUUUUCUUACCGUUUAUCGACCCGACACAUUCCUCCCCAUUUUUUUAAUGCCUUCCAUUAAUAGUUAAGAAAAACCUAGGGAAAACAAACACUCUUUUCCUGAUUGUUUAUUCACCAGUCUCUUAGGAACCAUAAUUACGUCUCCCAGGAAUUGUGUGUUUUAUCAUACUGUAUAUCUUAAAGAGCCACUUUAGGUAAAAUAACAAGGAGUGCCUUAUGAAGGAAAAUUGGAUUCAUUUUAAGACUUUUUUAACCCUCCAAAGAAUGGCUCUUUGUUUACUUCUUUAGUGCAUGUGGCAACUUGCCCAAGUAAAUACUAUGCUGCAUAAAUACCAGAGAUUGGUAUUUAUGAUAUUACAUAAACAUACUCUGAAUAAUGACUCAUUGUUGCGAUGAAGACGAAUGCAAGCAAUAUACAUCGCAGUCAGUGCGUUAUUUCUUGUCACUUUAUUAAGUGGCAUUGAGCGUUGCAGGACAAAAUGACAGCAACUGGAGAGGAGAAGUCUGAUUGCGUUAUUUAGCAGAUCUGAGUUUACAAAACAGAAGAGAAAACAGCCAAAACAGGAAGGUUAUGAGGAUAACAUAGCAGAUUAAUUAUCAAUAUGCAGGCUCCUCAGGAACAGCAGAGAAAGCCUGCAGAGUGGGAGGGUGACCCUCAUAAUACGUGGAGGAGUGGGAUGCUCAGCUGUGGGAGGACUCUGCUCCAGGACUGCAGGCCUGCACACUGUGAUUGAGGAUGGAUGCAGACUUAAUUUCACUGGCAAACGCUUUGAAAAGUGCAGCCCUCUGUAACACCUCCCGAAGAAGAAAAGACAGAGACAGACUGCAUGUCAUUCCUUCACUCCUGUGUGCCCAUAUCAGCACUCACUGCGCCUACAGAGAAGCACAAGAAUCACACGGUUCCAGGCAAAAUGCAUGUAUGUGAGCACUUCUUCUUCUGUGCAGAACAAAGUACGUCUGCCCUGCAGCUAUCCUGAGGAGUAAGAAUGGCUCACAGUCAGUGACCCAGCAGCGAUGCACACUGCGCCGGCACCAGAGGAUCACCAGAGGAGCUGUGAACUACCCCAGACAGAAAGCAGUGGUGCAAAGGUACUGUUGGUAAGGGAGAUGGCACUCAGGCUGGGAAGCAUGCAUGUAUGAAACUCAGCCCAAAUAUGCUCCUUUACCUGAACACAUGGGAACUACGUCCUUCCUGCCCUCUGCUUCAGGAGUUGGAGAGCAGGAGCGUUCUCUGUCCUGCCAUCCUCUGCCUGGGAGCAAAGCAGGGCAGGGGAGGCACCGGUCAGCAUUCAGGUUUUGUACUGGCUUCAUGCCAUUGCCACUUUGUCACUGCAGUUGUCCUGUUCAGCUGGGACAGGAGCCACUGAACCACAAACAUGCCCAUGCUGAGCUCUACCCUGGUGGUCUUCAUCCCAAUGUGGGGUCCACCUCGUUCCCCACAGGCUGCUGGGUUCAGUUAGCAUCUCUGUGGUCUCUUUUUCUCUCUGUCACAUCCUUUUCUUUCAGCCAAGUGCCUACUUGCAUGUAGGGCUCAAGGGGUCUUCGAAUAUGGGUGAAAGCAAAACGCACAAGAGAAGUUCCAUGAGGAAGGACAGGCUGGUGACCAUGUUGUCUGUUGUAUGUAAAUAGCUUUCCUUGGCAUUGCUUCUAACUGCUGGGUUAUGGUAGGGUUGUGCUCUUGAAUUUCUGAAUAGAAAUAAGGUGAAAAAUACUACUUUUUCACCUGAUGCUGUGCGCCUGAUGCAGAUGUCUGUGAAAUGACCUGUGUGUUUUAGCAUAAGACCAGAUAAAGGGAUAUGGUUUUAUACCUUCAUGCUCCACAGAAGUUUCUGUUGCUCUGCACCACACAGGGCUUGGCCAGUCCCUGUGUUGCAGCUCACCUGUCCAACUUCAACCCUUGAUUAGCAACUUUGUAGAGACGAUCUGAAGAAAAGCUCAGUGGAAAAGGUGCUCAUUAUCUCCAUAAGAGAUUUUGUCACAGCUGGAUAACAAAGUACAAAACUGGCCAGGAUUCCCCAUCGUAAUCUACAGGUGUUAGUGAUGAAAGUACCAGCCCCUCCGCUUUCAGCUGCACGCAGUAGUUAGGUGCUGUGUCACGCAGUACCGCAUUGUAUCAGUGGAUCUAGAGAUAGCGUACUCAGGUGUUUGUGUGUUACCCAGAGUGUUUCUGUAAUAUAAGUUUGUCUUAGGAAAAAAGAAAAAGAUGCCAGUGGCCUUGUCAGAUAUCUCUGAGCGAGAGCCAGAGUCGUGUAAGGGACUAGAAGUGUGAUAGCCAUUCUCCUACAGCCACAAGCAUCCAGCUGGUAUUAUUUAUGCACCAUUGACAGUGGGACAUGCUCAGACUUGAAGGACUGGUGCUGACCUUCCCUUGCUAAUCAUUUAUACACUCCUUGUUUCGAGCGCUCCACCUUAAGGUUUCUCAUGACUCACGUUCUCUCUGGAGUGAACAAAUAAAUCCUGAAGGACUCUGCAUGCUUCCAAGUGUGUAACCUGUCCCCUCGUACUGGUCCUGUUUUCAGCAACAGAAGCUCUCCAAGUAGCACUGCUAUUUAUUAAGGUGUGACCUCGGAGCCAUAGGACCUUGAGAGCUGAGAGGAUGGUGGCUUCAGCUUGGCUUAGGCUUAUCCUAAACUGUCAGUCCAAUGCUUUUGUGGGUGCCAUGAGGGAGGAAUAAAACUCCUCUGCAGUCUUUGGAAGCAGGAAAAUUGGGCUAGAAUCAUAGAAUGGCUGGAGUUGGAAGCAUGCAGAGUUCUCUCUCCAAAAUGGGGAGCAGUAAUUCAUGUCAUUUUCCUGAACUUCUGUAAGGCUUUAGGCAUGGCCCACAUCAUGUCCUUGUCUCUGCACUGGAGACGUGGUUUUGAAUGGACUGUUUUGUGGAAAAGAAAUGGACUGGAUGUCUGCAUACAGGGAGUUGCAGUCAAUGGCUCAGUGUUCAGGAGGAGAUCUGUGAUGAGUGAUGUGCCUCAGGAGACACACAGCUGUUAGAGCAGGCCCAAAGGAGAGACACAGAAAUGACUGGAGGGCUGGAGCAUUUUGCUUUCAGAUAUCCUUUAGUUGAAGGGAAUGGUAAAUUGAGGCCUAUUUCUGGAUUGUUCAGAACAAAAGACUUGAUCGUGGACACUCAAAUGCUGAGGGUGCUGCUGAUAAUCCUUGUUGUUCUCUCUGUAUUGAUGGGUCCAUCUGGGAGGCAGGGUUGACAUUCCCCCUUACCUUCCACUGCUUCUGGAAGUGGUACAUAAGCAGCAAAUGGUUGCAAAUGCUUUGAAUAUACAAAUAGAGUAGAAAGGUGAGUAUCAUAAAUAGUAUGACUGUAUUACAACGUAUAGGAAUAAUGAAAAACAUCAACAUUGUUGUUAAUUAGACGUGCAGUUCGUGAGCAGAGUGUUGAGCUUUGAGGAACAGGUAGGCCGGAGAGGAGAGGGCAAUAAGAGGGUACAAGAAAAUACCGCCUUGUCUUUGUCCCUUCCUUGUGUACCUCUUCCCUAAGAGGAGCUGCAGGGCAGUAGAGUGGGUGAGAAGGACAUCCCAGCUGGAAGGUCUGCUGAGAGCUUUGGAGAGCUCGUCUGUGGGGUCAGGGUUGGCUUGGCCACAGGGUCAGAGGUGGAGGGGAGGAAGGAACAUGUUUUGGCUUAUGUUCCAGACUGUGGGGCUGGAUUAGGUGCACGCACCUGGGAUAGGCUAAUGAGAAUGGGGACACGUCAGAAUGUCAUUGUGAAGGAGAGAGGCUUGAUCUGCUGUGUUGUGAGCGCUGCUGCCCUCAUGGUGCCUGGGCACAUCUGACAGGACAGAGCUUACCACAGCACUCACAGGGGAGCGAUGUUAGGCACUAUGGGUUGGUCCAGCAUGAGUAACUCAAACUGCAGGGGUGUGAUGCAGAGAAGGAUGUGGUUCUUUUAAUUCCUUCCCCUUGUCCCAUUGUUUCCUUCCCAGGCGCACACAAAAUCUUCCUCUGCCUCUCCCUCCCAGCCCAGCUUUUCUCCUCUCUUUGGUUGUCCUUUUGUCCUUCCCUCCUGUAGAGCCAAGCUCAACAGCGUAACCCACACCCAACAGAAAGGGACUUCUUUUGGCAAUUUCUCCAUAUCUGGGACCCAUAUGUCAAGCAAAACAAUUGCAAAUGGGCUUAGUUGGCAUUCCUUUGGCACGGAAUGGCAGAAAGCACGGGCAGGAGUGGGUUCUUCAGAAAAGCUUGGAUUUCACAGCUGUGCCCAUGAGCGGCACUGGGGGACACUGUAUGACCUCAGAGAGCCUGGUCCCACCACAGAGCUGCAGUGGGAGCCCAGGUCCUGACUCCUUCACUGCAGGCGGGAGGUUGGGAAGGUCAGGCUGUGUGCAAGCAGGUGCCUCCUGUGCCCAGGACAUGGAGGACAUGACCUGCCCUGCCAUUAGCUGUUAGAGUCACGCUCUAGAGGCUGGCUUCAGAGGAUGCGUUAUGUCUUUGUGAAGCACCACACACAGGGUCAGGGCUAGAUUGCCUCAUCACCAAAACACAAAUUCAUGUAUUUGUCCUGAAGCGAGGCUGGUGCAACAGGACAAAAUGGAAUAACGUAACAGCUGGGAGCCAGGGUGUGCUGCAACGUCAGAGGAGAAAUACCCCGGGAGCCCUACAGGAAAGCAAUGGUGAACUCUACUCUCAGAUUAAUCAGGCUUUUAUUUCUGCCACAGUCACGAUGUCAAAGCUUUUCUCUGCAUGCUGAAGAUGCCAUGUCUGGCACUGAGAGCUGCAGUGUGGUGGAGAUACAUCUUUUAAUGGAAGUUCCCAGGCUGCGUGCCAGGACACUGCAAACAGACACAUUUAUGGUCUUUCAGGUACAAACAUGACUGAUUUGUGAUCAAGAGGAGGAUGUGGUUCUUUCCACUCCUUCGCCUUGUCCCCUUCUAUGCCAUCCAAAGCACACACGUCUCCACGAUGCAACCUUCCCAGGGCUGGUAAACAAUAUUCCUAUUGUAAAUUACUUCAGGAUCUUCACAAAAAAAUUAGUACAAUCCCCACAAGCACAGAUUGUUAAAAUACUCUGUAAAUUACUUGUCUGGCUUCACUGGGGUAACUCAACAAGUCCAGCAGCUGUAGGGCUUAUCUCACAUCUCGGUUGCUGAACCUGUGCUCUUUUGUCACUGACUCCAAUGUGUAACUUUGUUAACAUCGAAUAGUUUGCAAAUUGGGAAAAACUCCUCUAGGAAUUUGAAAUUUGUAUUUCCUUAGUGAUCCUGGACCCAAGUGGACAGUGAGAAGGGACCUGAUGCUCAGUGCGUGCAGUGUGCUGAAGAAGUGCAUCUCUGCAGACAGCUGCAGGCAGCCCUGAGCUUGCUGUGCUCGCGCUGUGCAAUGUUCAGGCCGGUGCCGGCCCCACGGCCGCGUUCUGCUAUCAGGGCAGGAACUGUAGAGCGACGUUUUUCAGACACCUCCUUGGGUUUGACAGUGAGGAACGUGGCUGCUCUGCAGUCUUGUGGUGCGUGUGACAGUACGACUGUGCUCGCAUGUACAAAGCCAGCUGCCAUCUCUGUUGCAGUGUUAAGAAAAUAUAAGUUAAAGGUGCAUUAUGUCCAGCAACAGCCCCAAGGUGUGCUGGAUGCAGUGAUCUAUGACAAAGCAGCAGUUUAUGGCCUCACACUACUGUUUUCUGUCAACCCGCUCACAGAGAAGUAUUUGUGGCGUUGUUGGUCCCAUGCUUCAUGGCAUUAUUUCUCCAGGACCGUGAGCAGGGGACUGCUUGUCAUCUCAAGUUGGGUACUGCCUGAUGUUUCUCUUCUAACAGUAAUAUAAAGCCUCUGUGCAUCAAUGAGAGGGGCUGAGAGAUGCAGGAACUGCUGCAUAUGCAGCAUUAUUUACGGAGACCAGUGCUGGGCUAUUUCUCCACCUACUUCACCUCCUCCACUCAAGGGCGUUCAGAUGCCUUGUAGACCAAACGUGCAGGGGGCAGUAAUAUUUUUACUAGGCCAACUGAUAAACAAACAUAUUUUGGGAGCCGUUCCCAGGGCCACGCAGCAGUUCUGUGAGAUGAAGUCCUGGCGCAGGACUCCUGGGCUUUACCAAAAGUCCAGAAACCACUGUUUCUCCCCUCGUGGCCAGUCCUGUCUCAGCAAUAUUUUGAUUGCUCUCCUAUAAAAACUCUUUUCUUUCCCCCCUCUGGGCUGUUAAUGUUACCACAUAGAUAUUUUCUAUCAACCUACUCCAGAAAAUUUAAGUUAUUCUGAAAAGGGAAUUAAGUAAGGAAGAUUUACUGCAGUUUGAAAAAGCCAGCGCUUGCAAGACACGUCCCCCAAGGAACGCUCUGUGAUCCAGGGGAUCAUUUCGUACCAUUGCAUUGGCAGCACUUCCCUGGUCAAUGCCUUUCCGCGUUUCUUCCUGGGAUAUUAAGGUGAAUUUAAUCAUCAGUUAAAACAUCUAGCAAGAUGAAACUUGUUUCCAGAAGCGGUUUGAUUGGAGUCGCAUCGAGUUAUUUAGUUUCCACUUUUUAGUGGCAUUUUUUGCAGCACUGAUUAUCAAGUAGUUGUUGGUUUCACCCCAUUCCCAAUAACUGGGGCAAAAUUUGGAAGCAUUUCACACCGAUCUUUGCAGAGCAAGAGCAGGAUGGUUUGUUCAAUCCCCAUGUGGGAUUUGUUCUACAUUCACUGCAUUGCUGGGUGUCCUCACCUGGCUGGCUGUGCUGCUGUCUCCCUGGCUGUGUGUUGUAACCUAAAGGCGAUUAAAGAUGGCUGCAAGGCGGCUCCAGCUUUACCAUCUAAAACUGAGCGAAUGGAGGUAAGUGGUGCAUAGAUUUCUGAUUCUCUCAACAGAAGGGCCGCUUGCCUUUAUUAUAGCUGGCACUUAAUCACAAACCAAGACACUUCCAGUCUGGCUGUUCAUCUCUGGGCUCUACAGAAAGAGCCAUGGCUGUGCUGAGCAGGGCCUGUGGUGGUGCCAAGCCAAAGGAGAGCCCCCAGUCACCAUCACCAAUUUGUGAACAUGGGUGGGACCAGGCCCUGGCAGGCCCUGCACUGCCCCGGUGUCCUGGCAAAGCCUGCAGGGAGGUGGUCCUGCAGCCCCAGCAGCAUCCCUUGGAAGCAGGCAUCGCCUCGCUGCCCGCCACGGCCACUGAGCGAUGCCUGGCAAAGGUGACUCAGAGGCAGGGAGCCCUGCUAAGGCCCUGGCACAUCCCUGCACUGAAACACUGCCUACAGCCUCCUGCCUCUGCCCAGCUCGCCCUUCCUGCCGCCUUUCCCCCGGGGUCCUAACUCCCGACUUUGUUGCUCUAUAAACAUAAUAACAAUAAUUAUUCUCUCAUUGGACACAUAGCCAUCUUCUUUGUUUGCAGGCUUAGAUAAAUAUCAUUCAAAUCAUGGAGUCUGAUUCAUGAGUCAGGAUGAUGGCAGCCCUCCAAAACCUCCUUGCCCAUGGAGAGUGUGUUUGUGUGAGAGAGAUAGAGAGUUUCACUGUAUGAAGCGUAAGAAACUGGAAGCCAAGUGAAUUAAAUACAAAGCAGAUAAUUAUGUGUAAUUCAUUUACUGACUAAUGAUUGCACCUGGUACAGAAGUUUAUGAAUUCAUUUCACUCUGCAUUUGUUCUCAAAAAACAAUCUCUCUGCACAAGAUAAAAACUAGGCCUGUGUUUACGUUGGUAUUAUUGUAAGAUUCUGUCUCUCUGGUUCAUUCCCCAUUUUUUCUCACGACGUUUCACUUCUCCUGAGUUCACCUGGUGUCUCCUUGGCAGCGACAGCUGCUCCGUGCAGGCAGGGGCUGGGUGUCACAGCAGAAUGGAGCCUUUGCUUCUCUCCUGCAGUCUGUGUGGUGUGAUUACACACAAGGCUUAUCUCCCAUGUGCUACAGCCAAACUUUGCCACCGAGGCUGUGCCUGCAGUGGGGAUCAGCAGGUCAUGGUCCCCCUCCCCCCUCUGCUGGGAUGGUCAGCAACUUGCUGCUCUUGCAGUGGUGCCACCCAGCUGUCCCUGCAGCCCGACACCAUCAGCUCCUUCCAGCUGCAGGUGGUGUCAGCCUUCACCUGCUGACACCUGGGUUGAAGACCCCAGGGGCCUCUGGCAAGGUGAAAAAGCUCGUGCAAAUCCAUGGGGGACAGCAGUGCCAUUGGUGCUGAUGUCACACUGAGGACAGCAGCCUGUGUGACACUGCUUGCACUGUGAGCUUGGGAGUGGAGCUCUGAGCCACGCUGGGCCCAAGGCUCUGCUGGAUGUGGGCAGCAGCAGGGACACUCCUAAGGUGAUGCUCUUACCACGUCGAGGAAACAAAAGACCUUUUCCAGCUGUAUCCCAUGGGCAGUCAUCAGGCAUCCAGCAAAGCCCCUCCUCCCAGUCCAUCAGUGUGUCAAAGACAUCUCACCUCAAUCAUCCAUCACCCUGCAAAUACAUCUGCACACUCGGUUCAUUGCUCAGGUCCUCAGGUCCUCCUGUGAUGGCUGAUGCUCAAAGCAAGAAUUGCUGCUUCUUGCUGAGCAUGCCCAGCACCAUCACACGGCGGGGCUCUGUCCAGUAAUCAAUCCAUUAACGGGGUGCAGGAGAGGUAAGCGCGUGGGAGAGGGCUACAUCUGCAGGCACUGGCUGAGAGUAGAUUUAUGUGGGAUGUCCUUUAAGGCCAACUUUGGGAAAGGAACCAACUGGAAUAACAUAAGGAAGAGGGAAGUUACUUAGCAGUUUGAAUAGUUAGUAAAUUGUGACAUGCUCACAUGAAAGAACAUGCUGAGUUCACCUACAUACACGCUUUCCAGCAUUAUUUCCACUGAGUCUUUGCUGAAGCGUAAUAGUGAAGCUGAGCUCGUGGCUGCCAAUGGAACAGCUGCAGCAGCAGAUCUAACCACCAGUGCUGCACAAACACAGUGGGAGGCGUCUCCCUGCAGCCACCGCCAGCACUGUGCGGUGCCAGGAGAGCAUCACUGCUGCCCAGCUCCUCUGCUCCCAGCACAGCACUGCCCUACAGCCUGCAGCCCUCCUGGGGAGGCGGCGAAAAGCAGUGGAGGUGCUGCUUUCUCCAUCCGUGGCAGCCACGGGUAACAAAAGCAUCUGCAGUUGAAGAAAAAAUAACCCUCUGCUCCAGUAUUGGAGUGAUUUGUCAUUAGAAAAGCCAAAACCAGCUCAUCUUGUUCACGAGUGCUCCCACUGACUAAAGCGGCAGUCAGCAUGCGCUCUGGUUUUGAACCCAUGCAAUCCUUUUCCGAUGAAGACCUGACAAGCCAGGACAGAUUGCAGGCCGGGAGAUACUCACAGAGCGAUAGUGCCUUACCUGUAGGUGGAUCCUCAUUUUAGAUAGCACGAAGCAGAGCCAGGGAGCUGAUUCACUGCUCUUCUCCAGAUUUUCACCGGAAUAACACCACUGAAUCAUCAGCAAAGUUGAAAUAACAAAUGAUAAAAUGGGACCAUUGUGUUUAAGUUUGCAGCAUGCGUAUGGAAAUGAGCAGCUCUUUCUUGCAGAAUGCCUUUCUUGCGUGGAUACUUUCUGUGUGCUGUUUCCCAAACGUAUCACUAAGAUGAGAAUAUGACACUUAGGCAGCAGUUAUACAUGUCAACCCCCUCCUGCCCAAUUAAAAUCAAAGCUAACAGCUGGUGGGAAUGACCUCAGCACACCUACUCUGCUCUUUUUUCACUAUUCAGAAGAAAAAGGAGGAUGAGGAGGACUUCUACAGCUUCCGAAACGACUCCAUCUUUAUACAUGGUUCGUGUAUUGCUGCUCAGCAGCUAAAGCUUAGAAGCUGCUAAGUUAAGAAACACAGCCCUGGUUUCUCUUCUAUUUAUGAAAAUACUUGCUGAACAAUUGAAAAGGACUGCGUAACUGUGACUUUUUUGCAAGUAAUGCUCUGGAAAAGCAACUGAAGGCAACAGGCAAGCUUGCAAUUAGUAGUUCUAAUUAUAAAGUGUAUACAGAAAACAAUGUAGCAUCAUAAGUAAAGGCCAAGUUCAAAUGAUGCAAUAGGAACAGUAGAACACCAUGUAACAAUGGCAAAGCAUCCAGCAAGAGGAAUACUUCUAAACGAGCCGUAGUUCUCCCGUGAUAGCAACAACAACAAAAAAAGAGGAGAGAAAAUAAUAGCACAGCACUGUAUUCAAUGUAACUGCUGCAGUAAUCCUUUCUCAGUGCCACCCAACGCUCAUGCUUCUGUUGCAGCCCACAGCCAUCCCUGGAUAACACAGCUGCAGAGCAAGACCCAGUAAUGAGUGAUUAUUGCAGACCUGGGGGGGAGGGUCUCCUAUGCUGUUUGUUUAGCCAGGAACUGCUAUUUCCAUCACUGACAGCAGCUACCAAAUACCAAAGUAUGCUGCAGGGGUCUUUGCUGCAUAGUCUGUGGUGUGUAUAUGUGUGUGUCCCCUAAACUUCACCAGUCUGACAGCACUUCAUGUACUGAAUGGGAACUGAGAACCUCCAGCAUUAGUGUGUGCAGCAGCAGCAGCACAGGGUUACGUGCUGUGCUAAAGAACUGCUCUCAAAAUUAAGGCCUGGGUGCAACCAGAGAAGGUGAAGAGACAUAAUACCUUAGGGAAAUGGUUUUAUUUAUUCUGCCUGGAUGCAUAUAUGGCAAUCACCCAUGUAGCACGAUCCACAAUGCUGAAAACCAUUUCAUUAUGUUCUAUAAGUAAGAGCCUGAUGUGGUUCAAUUGUAUCAAUUAUGCAAUGCUUCUAAGUGGUGUAGUCAAGGGUAAAUGCAGGCAAAGGGCACUCCCUUUGUACCUGCUUCUACUCUGGGCACUUCUAAUAUUUACCUGCUCCUCAUAUACCACAGACAGAUGAAUCUGCCCACUUCUAUUUACCGCUGUAUCACUGACUCCUCUUUGGUCAAGAGCUUUUCCUAUGCACCGAUGACACAAUGAAAUAGAAAAUGGAAGUCAAGACACUGCUAUGUGUUCGUCUGUUGUGCAAGAUCUAAGUGUGGCUGCAAUUUUGAGCAAAGCAUCGGUUUUAAACAAUGUUUAAACUGACACUAUUAUUAUGCAAUAUAAUUAAUUAUAGCUAGAAGGGCAUUUGAGGUUAUUUGGCACUACCUUUGUCCAUUUCAUAAUUAUACCAAGAGAAUGACUAAGUUGUGCCUAGGCUAAUUGUACCCAUUUGGUUUUAUCCCUCCUCUCUGCCAUCCUAAGUCACUUGCAUCCUGAUCUGGGAGUUUUUUGGAGGAGUUUGGAUGUGUUUGUGCCAAACACAAUGGAGCCCAGGCUGGCUAGGCAGCCUCAGGUAAUAUUGCAAUAGAAGCACUAACAAUAGCAAUAGUAAUUACUGCUAGACAAAGUGAUAAGUACAAAACAAAUGUCACUUUUUUCAGUCACUGUUAUGGUUGCCUACAGAAAAUUUAUCCUUAUCUGCUCCUGCUCUGUGCAUUCUAGGACGUGUUUGCGUAGCCAGAAGAUAAAGCUUCGUGGCAUGACGUGAUGUCCUCCAGAUGUACUGGGAAGCCCUUCACACACCUCCAGAGAGCAGCUGAAGAGCAGCAGCAGAUGGCUGUGGCAGCAUGCAACGCACCAGCCCCGCUGCCCUAUGUAUCAUGGGGGCUCAGUGUUCAAGGGAUGCACAGUGCAGCUCAGAAGCCUGGGCUGAUGGGGCUGGGUGCUGCAGCGCAGACAUGGCACCGUGAAACCUCUGUGCCCCAGGGCCUGCAGUUUGCUGCCGGUGUUAGGGCCGUGGUGAGGAUGGCAGCUCACCCAGCCUCUGGAGCCAGGCUGGCUGCCUGACAGCCCGGCCACAAGUGCUGUGCCAUAUUGAAGCUCAGCAGCUGCCCCAAGCUGGCAGGCUGUGCGCCAGCCAGACGAGCUGCCCAGAGGUAGCAGUGAGUAAGGCAUCACUUCUGAACGUGACUUGGCAGUGUCAGGAUUAAAACCAAAGAGCCAACAAAAGCAAAAAUAAAAAUAAUUUAAAAAAUAAAAACAAAACCUAACAAUGAUAACAGUGAUUUCUCCAGAAAAGAAUCAGGUUGAGAAAUGGUCUUACCUUAAGAAAAGGCUCACUGUGGCCUUCCAGAAGGGAGCUCACAAGCAGGAGGGGGACAGGGCAAAGGGGAAUGGUUUUAAACUGAAAGAGAGGAGAUUUAGGAUAGGUGUUAGGAAGAAAAUCUUUACUCAGAUGGUGGUGAGGCACUGGCACAGACUGCCUGGAGAAGCUGUGUAUAUCCCAUCACUGGAAGCCAGGUUCAUUCAGUGCCAGGUUGGAUGGGGCCCUGGGCAGCCAAAUCUGGUGGGUGGCAGCUUUACCCAUGCCCAGUGGAUUGGAACUAGAUGAUCUUUAAGGUCUCUCCCAACCUAAGCCAUCCUAUGAUUCUAUGACUGUUCAGCUACAAUGAAAGGCUAUAGUCUUCAGCUGGCGGCUGGACACUGGAUUGCACUCAUAAAAUAGAACUGCCUGCAAGGACUGAAUGCCAUAAUUAACAGGCAUUUUUUAGAAAUUAUUGGUUAAUGUAAUAGAAAUACUGCCAACUGUUGUUGUUAAAACCUAAGUUUGUUCCUUUGGUGGUAAUGCAUAAUGACUCAACACUGCUUCAAUGGGAAGAUACCUUUGUCUGUUACAUAUUGCUACCUUCAUUUGUACAAUGGUUUAUAUGGCAAAUAAUACAAAUUCUGAAACUUAAAGACAGCUUCAGGAAGUAAUCAGAGUGCCACCCGUGUCCUGAGCAAUCGCAGUACUGGCAGUACAACAAGGCCUUUUUAUCAUAUCAUGGCAUUAAUGAUCCAGUCCCACUCCCACGGCAGGCAAUGUGGCCUUUAUCACCAAUGCUGUUUAAGCAGGACUAAGCUUAAAGGGUUCUAGAACAGGGAAAGAUGCUAAUCUAAGUUUCACAUCCAUCUGGUACAUUUCUCAUGCUGGUUAUACACGACCACCCAGAGAACUACUGCACAUUUUUAGUAACAAACUCUAUGAGCCCUACCAGGGAAUACAGGUUGUCCUCAGAUAAUGGGAUCUACUCAUAUGAUGCAGAUGUCUUAUCACCUAAGAACAUUUUCACAAUAUUACAAUAGCGACCGAAAGGUUAUUUCUCAAACCCUGUCUGUCACCCAGUAGGUACCAGCUGAAAAGUUUCUGUUUGAUUGCUAAAGAGUAGAAAGCAAUGAACACACAUUGGCAAAUCUUAGAUCAGGCAUGAUGUGGAUGUUGCACACCUCAGACUAACGCCCACCUUCACUUCAGGGAAAGGAGAAACCAGACCUGCAGACACACUAAUCGCUCCUGCUCUCACCUGGUUGGAAAUGAACUGCAGAACCUUGCUGCUUUCUAUUUACUGCACUGAGAGCCAGUGAUUUCUGAGUACUUCCAGUCAUCAACUGCAUGGCUAUUGCAGCAUUUUAUGAUGUAAAAUCCUCCUAAUGUACGAAUUAAAAAAAUAUAUAUGCAGUCUGUGCUGAGAUUGACAAUUCUGAUACAAGAGGGGGAGGUGAAGUCCAAUCUCUGCUCAGCUGGGAGGAACGCAAAGGUGAUGACACACCACUUAGUUUUGGGACAGCUUGGAGGUGUGGGUGUAUGACCCACCAAAGCGGGGUCACUUCACCCAAAGGAGGGCAAGCAGCAGAACUGGGCUGUCAUGCACAAGACUCAAACCAUCAGACUGUGCCAGAGUCAAAAUGAGAGCUCCCAGAGCUGGUUUCCAGCUGCACCCACUGCUGAGCAGAGACUGCAUCCCCAUCAAGUGCAGGAGGUCAUGUCCUUCAGCUGCUUCUAAGGGGAAGGCGCUUCAGAGCACACAGGCACAGUCAGCAACGCUGGUGGUGGACACAUGCAGACGUGGCCGAGGAAAGCUAAACAGGAUGCAUCAGCACCAAAGGGAUCUGGGCAGCCCAUCCCACUGGCUUUCAGUAGCACUGAAUAUGACGGGCUCUUGGACAAACCUGUGGAUCCCAGCCUGCCAUGUGACACUGCUAAGUGACUCUUGUCAGUAGAGCGUAGCAACUUGACUUAUUCCCUUCUGCAGAGCACACACUGGCCUGUGUACUGUCCAGGGGAGAAGCAGAGCCUCGCAAUUGGAAGGCGGGCACCAAAAGACACACGUGGGGCUGGAAGCUGGACAGUCCCAGCACCCAGCUCAGAAAUAAAACUGCUUUUACAGCAAGGAUUUCAGUAUAUGGUCUGGCUGUUGCUGACCUUGUCUGAGAACCUCUGGCAGCAGUGUGCCCAAUAGUUGACACGCUGCAGGCCUCUAUCAGAUGACAUUGCUAUUACAGUGCCUGGAGAGGUGGGGAAGUUCAUAUGUUAACAAACAAUACUGAGUGAAUUGAUUCCUCCUGCCUGCAUUGCCGUUGCUGUUCCACUCCCUCCACAAAACUAGGCUUUAGGAUACAGUUUAUUCCCUUUUCCAUGUAUCACUGUAACUGCAGUACUGUUGUAGACCAGCUAGAAGAAGUGGAGUUGUGAAUUCACCUUCUCUUUGGAAAUGUUACUCCAUCCACCCACACCUCUUUCUUCUUUGCUAACUCCAGUCAUCCAUCCCCAGGACCUACACCCACACUGAUCCCAACUCACUGAUGAACAUACAUGGAAACGGGCCUUGCUAAAUAGAUUGCAGCUCCUGUUCCAUAGCUGUGUUUAUAGGAUCAUUUGGAUACUAAAUCUAAUACAUAAAUGAGAACCCACUGGUUGAGUAAGGUCUCUGGAUUUAGUGCUCGCUCCAUGAAACAGGUUACUCAGCACAGCAGCUCCGGGUGCCCCAGGACACAGGGCUCAGCCAAGUGGAGGCCUGACCCCAAAGAGACUAACUCUGAUGCUGUUUGGGAACUUCUCCCCAUAGUGACAGGACACUCAGAACCUGAGUGAGGAGACACCUGAACCAUUCAGGAGGACUCCAGCUUCCACCCAACAGAGGUCCCAUCAGCCAAGCUGCCAGAGGUGCCCUGGAGUCCCAUCCCUCUCUCCCAGGGAAAGCCCUGCAACGCUGGGGCCCUAUGAGCUUGGGCUCAUUUCAUUUAAGUCUUCCCACUUUAUAGCAACAAUGUCCUGAAAAGAUUGGAGGAUGCAGAACAAACAGAAACUCAGCAUGGCACAGCGAUGCAAAAAAAGGUUCCAAAAGGUCAAGACAGGGAGAAGUGGAUGAACUCUGGUAUUUUAACAGCUCGGCAUUGAUGCCAUAAAUUAAAAGGAGGUGUGCUGGAUGUUUUAUUUUGUGUGUGUGGUAAACUGUACAGUUAGAGUCUGAAUAAACCUCUUUUGUCAAUUUUACUACCUUUCUGAUAUAAAAAUAAAUAAACUUAAACAAAGAAGAAGUGGAGACCUGCCAAGCCAGCCUACUUUGGUAAGAACUGCACUGACAAGGGAGCAAUUGUGUCUUAAAGCUGAGGGGCUGAAACGAUCAGCUUUUUUGGGCUGGCAAAGCCCUUCUGGAAGGGAGCUGCUCUGUAUGCAGGAGGAGCUACAGGAGAAGGAAAAAAAAAAAAAGGACACUCAUCUAAAAGGCAACAAAAGAACAUCAUUAAAAUUUCUGCUACCAGAACUGCUUCCCUGUUUGAUGGGAAGGCUGCAGGUAAAUAGCUGCUGCAAAAUAUACCAGGGUAACAGCACCUAGGAGCAUUUUAAUGGUGAUAUAAAAUUCACAAGUAGAUGAUAUAAUGUACUAAGUAACUUAUUAGGCUGAAUAUAAAACAAAGGUAUCAAGAAUGAUGGUUUUACUCUGCAGUGAAUCUCAGCAAUGAGUUCUAGGCUUACCAGUCCAAUGCCAAGCAUGAGAACUUCCAGUAGGCAGCAACACGUAAUUACCGCUGGGUGGAGGUGAAUCAACCACUUUCCGUCACGAAGCCAAUGAGGGACCCUCAGACAAUCUGCCAAAGGUGGGUGGGUGAAUGAGUGUUACUUUCCUGCUAGGCUCCCAUCAGGGCACCACACCUUGUGAUAUUAUCUCUGUAAUAACCAAACAACUUUAAAUGAUAUUGUGUCACUGCAAAUGAAGCAGGAGGGUGACCCAGCAAGUCAGAUUUCAUUAGUGCAUGAGGGACUGCACUCCAGCAUGCAGCUACACACACACACACACACACCCCUUCAGACCCUGGAAACCUCAGCCUGCAAUGCAGAGCAAUCUAAACUUUACCCAUACUUGCCUGAGAUUGUGUCUCUUCCAUGAGAGAUGCACAUGGACUUGCACAUGCACAGCAGGCUUAUCACUACACCCAUGUCCUAUUUGCUUUUCUGUGUGUCACUGUUGAAAGUUUUCUAAUGCGCUAGGUAAGAAGAUUGCAAAUGAAGCAGAACUUCAGCUGCUCAAUCGCAUUAAUACGGGUACAGUAAAAGAUGACAGGAUUACACACAGUUCGUCUAAUUAGCAAGCCAUGUGCAGCAUUGCCUGCCCAAGUGUUCAUGCACUCAGGCUCGUUGCCUCCCACCACUGCACCUUUCCUGCCUCUUUCCUCAACUGCAAUUGCCUGCUUUAGUUCCAGUCACAGGGGACGUAUCUGGUCUGCCAUAACUUUCCAGCUGUGAACACACCAGUGACUCCUGCCAGCCCUCCACUGUUCUGACUAGCAUCUCCAAGAGCUUUCCACGCAGAAGGAGUGACUCAGAAGACUUUGGAGAUGUCGCACUGGCUGGGAGCAAGUGCUGUUGUCUGCCACAAGGAGAGAGCUUCAAGCCAUCCAAGGGCAUGCCAUAUUGGUUCACAAGGGCCUGAACUACAAUAGUUAGGUAAGUUUGAUGACAGAAAGUAAGAAAGAAAACGAUUGGAAAGUCACCAGGUCAGACUGCGGGGCCAGAGCAGGAAAAAGGCUUUGCCAAAGUCAUACCUAGCAAAACUCAACCGUCUUCUGUGAAUUCAACCUCCUAUAGGCCAUUGUGCUAAUGUGUAUUUUGGCAAGUGCCUGACCCUUCCUGUUGACUGAAAUACUCAUGCUCUCUAGAAAUGACUAGGCCUGCACUCAACUCUCCAAGCAGCUAACCUUACCCCUUCUUCUUUCUUAUUUCUUCCUCUUGCAAAACCAGUCAAAUCCCUGCUGGGUGCCAGGGUCAGACAAUACCAUACUUCUACCAUCUGUUGGUCUGGUUCCUCCUCGUUUCCUGUUUCUUCCCUCUAGGACUGCCUUAUGGUAACACAAAAGCCAUGGCAACAACAGUAGGAAGGUCACUCUUGGUGGCCAGGCUGGGAAGAAAGGGACUCCCAGCAGAGGAGAAGUAGGUGUGCCCUGGUUAGGUUGCUUCUGAAUUUGACCUGCUUAGCCACUCCCUACCAAAAAUCUCCUCAACCAGCACAUCAGGCUCAUGCUGUAGGUGUCACAAACUCCACACAUGUAAUCAACUGGCUUCUUCUGAAAGGGAUUAGCCUAGGCAUUAGGAAAGAACUAGGUGUCAUUUUUAAGGUAUCAGUACAUUUUUUGGGGGUAAUAUUCCCAAGCAAGUCCAUUUGGAAGCCAUUUCCAAACACAUGGACAAGAAUGCAACUGAGAACAGGCAGUGUGGAUUUACUAAGGUCAAAGUGUACCUGGCCAACAUGGUUGUCUUCUGUGAUGGAAUGACGUACUGGAUGAACAAGGUUAGGGAUGCUGUGGAUGUCACUUACCUCGGUUUUAGCACAGCCUGUAACACUGUCUCCUGUUCAAAGCAAACUGGGGUGGUACAGACUUGAUGGAUGGCCCACAGCAUACCUGGAAAAAGUACGUGAAGCUCAAAAGGCAGUAAUGGUCAACAGCUAGACUUUUAAUUAAUUGGCAUUAAGAAAUGGCAUUCUUCAAGGGACAACACUAGGGCCUGUCUUCACCAGCAUCCUGGAUGAAAGGCUGCAAUGCACGUUCUGCAUGUUUGCGCAUGACGCUGUGUUCAGGCUGUCGAUCAUUAUGCUGGAGGACAGGACAGCCAUUCACAUAUUCUUCAGCAGCCUCAAAGACCAAUCUUACAGAAAUCUCCUCAAAUAUACCAAAGAGACAGACAAAAUCUGCACGCGAUACAGAAUUAAUCUGAGCAACAGCAGAGGAUGGGAGCUGAGUGGCUAGCAAGGAGCUUCACUGAAAAAAGCACCUGGGGUCCCAGUGGACAAAAUGCUCAUCAUGAGUCAGCUGUGAGGCUGUGCAGUGGUGACAGCCAAUUGCACCCUCACUGCACAGGAUGUAACGGAACCAGAUGCUCAUCAACAGUGCACAGUGCAAGGGCAAUGACCGCAAGCUGUAGUAGGAGAAAUUCCAUUGAAUGUAACUGGAGAAACGCUUCAAAAUGAAAGCUGACAUGCACUGAAACGGGUGCCCAAAGAGGUUUGUGAAAUCUCUACCUUCCAACAUUGAACAGCAAAGCCCUAAGUAGCCUAAGCUCAUGCUGAAGUCAGCCCCCUUUGAGGAGGUUGGCUGCAGCCCUCUAGAUGCUCUUUCCAACCACAAUUAUUUGAUGAUUUUUAAUUUUUUUUAAGCAGCUGUUCAUCUGGGAGACCUGGCUGGAGUUGGUUACAGAUUCCUCGAAAAGAACGAAGCUGUUAUCUCCACAGCAUCACCUGCCAGUUAUUGCUUAUUUGUAAUAUGAAUGAAUUCAGUGCAUACAUCACAAGUCAAGAGACUUCAGUUCUGAGAUUUUAUCUUCGAGGAUCAAAGAACUGAACUUUCUCUCUCUGAUCUUCAACCUGAGCAAAAAAAAAAGAGGUCUGUCUUUAACGCACUGUCAAAACCUCCCCACUUCAGAGGCAGCAUGAGAAAGACUGUUUCUGGGCUUUAUUUUGGAUUUAUGCAGCUCUCACACGUUCUUGUGGUGACAACUGGACAUGUUGUGAGACUUCCUAAUAAAACAAUUGUUUCGGCCUGAAAUGUUGUAGAAGCAGUGUAUAACAUAUGGCCUCCAAAUGCAACACCUACUUCAGCAUCUGCACCCUACCAUAUAUACACGUACAUUUAUAUACAGCAGUCCAGGCUGCCAAAGGCUCAGAAGAUCUGCUAGCUACCAUGAAAAAUGGCUGCUGGCUCUUAGCAGAACCACACUGCAAAUGUGGGGUGUGGAUCCACAAGGCUGUGCCUUCCAGCAGCAAGGGCUGCAGUGCCAGGUGUGCCGGCACACCAGGAGAAGCUAAGGACAGAGGACUCCCCAAAAGGCACUGGUGUGCAAGGGCAUUUUUACCUCCCAGGCUGAGCAGAGACACAGGUCCCCAGCGAGUCGCAGCCCCAGAUGCCCCCUGAAAAACCACAGCUGACCCAGGCACUCUGCAAGCCUGCGGUCAGAACCACAGUGGACACCCAGAGAAAGUAACAGACUUAGCUCUAAUCCCUGCACCAGUUGGUCUCGCAGACCCCGACACAGAACCCGGGCUGAGAAGCAAAAAAUAAAUAAAUAAAAGUAAAAACCCAUAUGUAUUUGAAAGCAUGUCCAGAAACAAACAAGCAAAACCUCUUAUCCAAACAAAUCAUAGUUAGAUCUUGGGUGAGACCAUGUUUAUGAAGGUUUAGCCAAGGAGCUUGCUUGGAGAUACCUCUCCAGCCUUAGCAUAACACAACCAGCCUGGACAAGUGCUACUAGAAAACACUUCAUUAAAACGCUGUUGUGGUAUUUAUUUAUAGGUAGCAAUUUAUAUCACACCCAUCGUACACACCAAUCCGGCAGCUAUGAUUGUCAAAUCAAACUGCUUCUUCCAUAACACCCCCUGCCCCCAGCCCACCUCCCGCUGCCACUCUCUUAGCAAAACAACUGUUUCCCACCUGACACGGCUGUCCCUCUGAAUAUAAGCCUUUGUUUGAACUUACUGAGCCCUACGUGUUCCAAACACAGGUGGGCAUCAAAGAUGCAACAGCCUCAUCAAGAGCCGGGCACACAUCUGUGGUGCUCUGCAUUCUAUUCUGUGAUUCUAUACAACCAGUGACCACUGCAGAGCUCUCCCCAGGAGACAGCUGGCAGCUGCGUUCUGCAUCUGCUGGAGAAUCCAAGUGGCUCUGGACGUAUCAAGGAUAAUACCAGAGAAGCUUCUCUGCGUGUUGUGGACACUGGUGGAAAAGGCAGUGUGAUAAAACACCUUACAAGAAAGCCCUGGGUGUGUCUUCAGCGAGGGGAAGGAAAAAAAAAAAAGAAAAGAAAAGAAAAAGAAAGGAAGAAAAAAAAGACUGGCAAAAAAAGAGGUUAGAUGAGGUAGCUGGGACUGCCGGGGGCAAUCUGAAAUCAGUUUACAUUAGAGCAGGUUGCUCUUGAUUUUGCUACAGCAGUUGUCACGCUUGGUAAGAAUAACAAGCUAUUCAUACGGCAGCCACCAUUGUGCAGCUCAGCACAUGCAGCCUAGUGGAAAGAAAUCCAAGCAAAUGCAGUGACUAGGAUAGGACAGUAAAAAGAAAUGGUUAUGUAAAUAAGUUUCGACUUCAGAAAUCUGCGAGAACAAUUGUUUCCCUGUAAGAGGGCUUCGUCACUGGAGCACGUGAGGCUUUACCCUACAUCUGCACUUCGAAAAGCCCACAUAUACAGCCCGCUGCAGCUCCCAGGUUCUUCCCACCGUCUGUCCCUUUCAAUCUCCAGCUUUUUUUUUUUUUUAAUACUCUCAAGUUCUUCAGCUAUCUAGAGUUCCACCUUCAUGCAUGCCCAGAACUGCCCCAGUCUUGACAGGGCCAAGCAGCUCAGCCCAUUUCACACCUAACUCUGAUCAGGAUCCAGAAACUGGGCGUUGCUUUGCCUGAACCCCCUGAGGGCUUUCAUUGGGGAUUAUAUGUUACCUGGUGACUGUUCCAUGUAAAAUGCAUAAACAGUCCUGGGAGCAGAGUCCAGACUCUCAAACUCCCAUGUGAAUGCUCAAACCAGUAGGAAAGACAGCCACGCUCCCUCGCAUGCACUUGCUUUGUGGCCCAGUGAUUCAACAGCACACUGCUGAGUGCAGGCAAGCAGCGCCGAGCUCCCCAGUGCGUUGUCUGGAUGCUCUGCAAGAGGUGGACGGUGGGAAUGAUGACCCUGAGGACCACAGCGACCCAGUUGGUCACCUUCUGGCUGCCAGCAAUCAAUGUUUCAGAUUAAAUAUGUUUGCUGUGACAGAAAGGCUGGCUGUACUCACCUUGCAGAGGAGCUGUUGGGAUGGGUGUCUGCAGACUUAAAAACUUCAGGUUUUCCUAUUAGUAUCCUGGGUAUAACUUCAAAAGCUUCUAUCUGCAAAUGGUUACACCAGGUAGGUGCUCAGCCUGGGCACUCAGGUCUUGGAGCAUCAAAUGAGGAGGUUGGUGAAGUAGCACACGCUAAGGCAUAAAUGCCAUUGGGAAAAUCUGUGCUGAUACUACUGCUUCAGAAGCAAAGUCCUACUUACCCCAGCACUGCUCUAACUCCCUCCUGGGUAAGGCUCUCUCCCUGACACACUUUGGUCCAUGUCUCUUAAUUUACAGGAGGGAAAAAGCUUGGCUUCUUCCAAAGGCCGAAGAACUGUACUCAGGUAAUUCUUAAAUAGCAACAUGCUCUCUGUGUCAAUUUGCACUGCUCAAAGACACAUUUUUUCAAGAGUUAUUUACUGUAAAAAUGCACGAAUGAUAACAUUUCUUUGAAGAAACAUCACACAAGCCCAAAUGCACCAGAAAAAGCCUGGAAAACACUCUAUUUUGCACACAAAGCAAAAGUUGCUUCUAAGUUUCACUUAUUGCAGCAACUGCUUCACAGCCAGUUUCCCAUUUGCCUCAAUGCCCAGAUAGUUCCUUUGGAAACCACUCAGCACACCCAGUACACACACGUGAAACGUAGGGAUGGAGCUACAGGCCAAAUCACUUCUAGCAAUUGCUCUCAGGUGUCACUGAGAGCAGAGCUGUUCACGUUGCGCCCAGACCGUGAUCUGGGGGCAACACCUCCUUCUGGUACCUCAGAAGGACAUGGAAAGAAAAAGCUUUGAAAACUCUUCUCAAAUGUGUAAUUCGGCCCAUAACCCACUGGGUUUCCACCACCACUCACCUUUGGGUUGUCACUGCAUUUCCUACUGCGGGCAACAUGAGGGACUCCCAGCUAAAAGCAGAAGCAGCUGCCAGCCGUGCCGUACAGCCACUGCUCCAACAAUCUCAUGCCCUCUGCAGCUUGGCACAAGGCAGAGGGAGAGAUGCCAUCCCUGCUGGCUCCAGCCCCAGGACCACCAUGAGCUGCAGAGCCUAUGGGUGCUGCGGGGCACACACAGCGUGCUGACAUCUGUCACAAAGGUUGGUGGUUAUUUUGACUGUGCCACACGUGUCUGUUGGGCAAAAUGCAAGUGCAAAGAGGAAUGCAGACAACGAGCACUCCCAGCAUUUCAUAUCUAAGACAGCGUGAAAUACUACAGUGACCUGGGGCUGUAGCUAAGCACCUGAGCACCUCUAAAUGAAUGUAGAUACAGCAGCUUUUAAGCAAGGCCUCUGUUAGGACAGAACAGGCUAUAGAAGCUGUACGGAAGAAGGCUGGCAGGUGAACGAAGGGUGCUCCCCUCUGUGAGGUGCAGCAAAGCCCAGGGCUUAUGGGAGAGCAGAAGCACCUGUCUGAGGCUGACAACUGCCAGGCAUGUGAAGUGCUGAGGCACACGCUGAGGAAGCAUGUUGGUGUGCUAAGGGAAGGCUGCAUGGUCCAGCAGUAGCAAUGCAGCUCUCUGACCACAGCACCACUUGCAGGGCACUGAGCAUGCUAUCCUAUGCAAAUUCGUAAUGGCUUCAGGAGAAAAUUAACAGAUGGUCGUGGGGGAAAACUCCCAAGGGGUUUUUUUCCCCCUUCUCGGUGCUAAUAGACUACUUACCAUUUUCUGAAACCACCUGCACAAUUUCCCAGGCAUCGUGGUUGGCUGCUGGCGAGAACAGAGUGUGACUGUAGUGCUGUUUGCAGCACUAAGAUGGCUUUCCAUUAUGCGCCUCUCACGUGUCCAUGAAAGGCUGCAUAACCCAGAAAUUCACUGUCAUGAUGGGGGUUGACAACUAAUGCCCAGGAUCAGGUUCAGGGAAUGCUUAACGUUUUCUAGCUGAUCACAUUACUUCAGGUACCAGAUAUACCAGCUUUCCCAUUGAUAUUAGGGGAUAAGCAAAUCCUCACUGGUCUUUGGAGGAAUAGUGCAGUGUAUCACUGUUGCUAGUGACUCCUGAAACCCACUGCAACAGAAACAAUACAUGUUACCCCAAACAAAGUGCAGCAAGAGGAAAUAGCACAACAUCCAGGGACAGGCACAGAAAGCUCCACCACCCUGUGUGUAUAAUGCUGUGGGAAGGUGAGGAUGGGCAGCAAACACGUAACUCAUGAGUAAUGAACACGUGGAUUUUCAUGUGGCAUCACCCUUCUGCAAGGGCUGCCAGCCAGUAAUGCUUGCUGCUCUCCCUGCCAGGACAUGUGACUUAUGGCAUGGCCACAUGUUCCUUCAGAGCAGCGUGGCAGCACAGGAUCUAGGACUUCAUGCCACCUUCCUCCUAGCUUUGCUCUGGCUAAAAGGUAUUUGCUCAGAUCCUCAGCUCAACCAGAUUUCAUAGAAGUAGGUAUCAGUUCCAUUACAAUCCGGCUGCCCACACCAGGUGUUCUGGGAUAAACAUCCUCAGAACAUCAGACCAAUUCAAGAAUCUCUGCAAACUGUACUGCUUGCCAACCAUCCAGCUGCAGCCAGUCACACAGGUACAGACACACAGGGCAGCACCAGCCAUGCCAGCUUCCCCCCCGGCCAAUGUUUGUUCUUCCUUUCUUCCUUCCCCUUUUUAGCAUCUCACAACAGUCAGGCAAAUAGGAGGAGCAUCCAAAAUACUCCUCUCCUGGCAGCCAACAGCCACUGACACCAUUUCCUGAUGAAUGUGAACACUCAAGUUGCAGGAAUCCUCAUUCCAUCCCACUGCAAAGACCCUCCAAUCUCCCAAGUGUACUUCCCUGUAUGCUCCUCAUCUUCCUCACUUCCACAGCUGCUACACAGCCUCAGUCCUCUGCUCACUGCCAGUCAGUGAAUGACUGCAGAAAGCCCCUCCUCACCGCUCCUCUGCCACUGCCUCCACUGGGGGCAGGCCCAGGAGCUUAAGAAGCCUUUGGUAUGGCUCUGGUACCAGACAGAUGCUGAGCUCACAGCCAGAUGUGACCUGCUCUGUAGGGAAAAUCUUCCCUCCCCAAGCUCGUUCCCUCCCACCUUGGUUAACAGGCAUUUGGAACCGGGCUGUUGAUUUGUUAAAGGAUCAUUGCCUUUUGAAAUCUCAUUGCAGGAAGCCAGAAAUUGCAGUUUGCAAUCUGCAUGGUUCCUGUUUCCAAAGGUGACCUCAUGCAUAUGUGCACUUGUGCCGUGCACCCCAGCUACCUUCCUUCAAGAAAUACCUACCUGUGCGUGUGGCAAAGCCCCUCAUGGACCUGUGCUGUGUGUGAUGGCAGUGCCACGCUGCCUGUGUGUCGGCAGUGCCUGCUCUUGCAGUGUGCACAUCACAGGCUCUAUUUCAGGGAAUAGCUGUGUGACAUCCAAUGUGCCUCGGGCCGGUGCAGCUGAAGGACAUGAGCAUUAAGAGUUACAAAUGAGAAUGUGUGGUUAGCUGGCAGCUGGCACAAGUAUUGCUUUUUUGUGAUAAGCACUUUAAGUGUCUCAUGAAUAGGAAAGCCUUUUCUAACAAACCCUGCCUGCGCUCAGUAAGUGAACCACAAAGGACAGAAUCCAACACUGCCUGGUGUCUCAAGGCAACUGUUCCUUGGACAACAACUAUCUUUUUUGGCAAAAGCCCAUGACAAGGCAGAGGCUGCAAUGCACGCAUGCUCAGUCCCUUGGAAGGAUCCUCUCAGACACCCAUGUUUGAAUUUUAACUGCUGGCCAUGGGCCAGGCUCUGAGAUGAUGUAGGUGGUCUUGCAGGUUGCAUCAGUACCUUCACAGGGUGCAGUAAGUGGGUCAGCUACCACCACAGCUCUGCACUGGCAUACUUCCCUAGGGAAGGUGCACAGGUCUGACUGAGUCUAAGGGAGAACUUCCCAGGAGACAAGUAAUGCUCUAUCUACUAUUUCAUCCUUUGCUCAGUUUCCAAGACAAGCACUGGCAAAACAUGGAAGGUUCUUUUGCUGCUGUUGCUGUGGAUCCCCAGCUACAAAUCCUCCGCACAGACGUUGAAAAUAAUCUGUGAGAACACGGAUUGUUUCUAAACUGGCAUUUUCGUCUAGAACUGUGUCGGAUACAAUGGUGAUGGAAGGACAGUUAAGCUAGGCCGAUUUGUUACAGUAAAGCUGUGUUGUACUUCAGAUUACUUAUUAACAAACAGCAAAUGGGCCUCUGCCUUGACCUUUUUCAUUUGAGCAAAUAUACUCUUCCUGCCCCCUGUAAACAGCAGGGACUGGUAACUCAGUCACGUACCCCUCACAUUACCAAAGUUAGCUUUCUUCAUCUGCGGCAAGGAGUUCAGUCAAACUGAAUUCUGCCAAGCUCACUAAGGUUAUUAGCGGUGUUAUUAGCCUUAAUAAUACCAGCAGUAAUAAUAAUUCUCUGGAUCACCGUAGACUUGAGAACAUCUAAGUAAUUCAAAAAUAUUAAUUAGAAAAACUCAAUAGGAGGUCUGAGAAACCACCAAAAAUCGUCAGCCUCGCUUCACAGAGCUAAGAGCUGAAAAUAGAGCCACAGCAAGCAGAAGCAGCUGUUAGCCUGAUGAGUUUCAAUUAAUGGGUGUUUCUUUGGUGUCAUGAAAUGCCAGGUGCCCGGUGCCUCUGGCAACACUACCAGGUUAAAAGCAGCAGCCCACAGUACGUAUCUGGAGCAAUAGCAGGUUUGGGAACUGGAAUCCAAAGGAUAGAUCUGCCAUUGAGACUUGGCCUUAGAGUGGGAUGCACUCUAGGUGCCUUGUACAUUGGGAAUAAUGGCCCCUUAGGCUCUUUGGAAAAUUCCAGUCCUGAUGAUCUUCAGUGUAGCUGAAGACCAAGAACACGCCUAGAACCUACACAUGCUCUCGUGCCAACAUGCCAUCAAUACCCACUCCUUUUAUAUUAAACCUUUUUGAGUGAAGAAGGCAAACUGUGACAAACACUCCACUGCAAUAGCUAACUCUAUUUCCUACCUAAUUAUUUCCCUGACUUCUCUCUAUUGCUAUUAAAGCUCAAGGGGUGGCCAAGUCAAGACAACAGCACCAAGAAGUUUGCAGCGUUCAUCUUGGUUCUAAGUUAAUUUUUCCUGUAGAUAUCACCCCAAUCCACCUUGAAUCACACAGCAUUAAGCACUCAGUAAACAAGGUGAAAGUUUCAUCUAGAUUCUUAACCAGUGAUGUUGCAGAGUCUUUGCAGCAAGGGGUAAUUACUUGUAUUAAUUACAGACUCCUCUAGGGUACAUUAUGCCACUGCACAGAGAGGAUUGGACAUACAAAUUGGAGGAGUGACUCUUUUUGCUUUCUUUGAUUUGUUCAAAAACCUUACCAUUUGCAGGCAUGGGAAGGACGCAGGCACAGUCAAUCUCAGUGUUUUGUUUGCAGUCAGGAUGACGCAGUGCCAAGAGCAACAGCUUCACAAUUGAGAGAUCCAGGUGCUGUUUCUCACUCUGACACACACCGCUCACGUGACCCGGAGCAUGUCACAUAACCUGUCCGUCCCCAUCUGUAAAAUUAGGAUAAUGGUAGUUAGCUCAUGUUUAAGCCUGAAAGAUGUCAAAACAUAAGAAAAAGGAAGCUUCUCUUCACCGAGUCUUCAUCCAUCAAUGUCUUAAGAGUCACAAAAAGCACUGUGACUAGAUUGAUGCCAUUUUCCUGCUUAUGGUAUGAUCACUGGUGUCUGCCCAGUGGGAAGUUUUUCCACACAGUGACUGUGCUCACUCAGUAAGGCUGGUUU
ensembl:lncRNA